rnacentral:rRNA from 1 species
AUGAACGCUGGCGGCGUGCCUAAUACAUGCAAGUCGAGCGAACAGACGAGGAGCUUGCUCCUCUGACGUUAGCGGCGGACGGGUGUGUAACACGUGGAUAACCUACCUAUAAGACUGGGAUAACUUCGGGAAACCGGAGCUAAUACCGGAUAACAUGUUGAACCGCAUGGUUCAACAGUGAAAGACGGUCUUGCUGUCACUUAUAGAUGGAUCCGCGCCGCAUUAGCUAGUUGGUAAGGUAACGGCUUACCAAGGCAACGAUGCGUAGCCGACCUGAGAGGGUGAUCGGCCACACUGGAACUGAGACACGGUCCAGACUCCUACGGGAGGCAGCAGUAGGGAAUCUUCCGCAAUGGGCGAAAGCCUGACGGAGCAACGCCGCGUGAGUGAAGAAGGUCUUCGGAUCGUAAAACUCUGUUAUUAGGGAAGAACAAAUGUGUAAGUAACUAUGCACGUCUUGACGGUACCUAAUCAGAAAGCCACGGCUAACUACGUG